AGCUAAUAUAGUAGACCAUAAUCAGCUGCCCUUGAUUAGUGCAAUUAGUAGACCAUAAUCAGCUACCCUUGACUUUUGUAAUUAGUAGACUAGAUCCCAUAAUCAGCUGUCCUUGACUUUUGCAUUUAGUAGACCAUAAUCAGCUGACCUUGACUUUUGUAAUUAGUAGACUAGAUCUCGUUGCCCUUGAUAUCCCCCCUCAAAUUGAUGCUGGUCGAUCAAAAAGCAUUAAUUUGUCAACCAGAAAAUUGUGUCUAUGACGAGAGAGAGCUUUCGUAAGUAUAUCAGCAGUUUGAAGAUCAGUGGUGAUAUGAGGAAGAGAGAUAACAUGAUCAUCAUAUGCUUCGCGGAUAGAGUGACAAUCAACUUCAAUAUGUUUUGUACGCUCGUGAAAUACAGGAUUAGCACGAUUAGUAGCUCUUGGUAAUCGGCAAGAGUAUGGAGUAGAUUAUGAGGAGACCUUUGCUCUUGUGGCAAAGAUGACAACAGUUCGACUUGUUCUAGCUAUUGCUGCUUCUACGGGCUGGUCAUUGCGACAGAUGGAUGUUAAGAAUGCCUUUUUACAUGGCAAUCUUCAAGAAGAGAUUUAUAUGACUCCACCAUUAAAGUUAUUUUCUACAUCUUCAUCUGAUGUUUGUAAGCUAAAACGCUCACUCUAUGGCUUAAAACAAGCUCCACGGGCUUGGUUUGAUAAGUUCCGUUCUACGCUUAUUAGCUUCUCAUUUGUUCAGAGUCAGUAUGACUCCUCUUUGUUUCUUCGCAAGACUGAUAAGGGACUUGUUUUACUUCUGGUAUAUGUUGAUGAUAUUGUUGUCACAGGAAAUGACUCUGAAUUAAUAUCUCAACUUCAGGAGCAUCUUCAACGUUCUUUUCAUAUGAAGGAUUUAGGUCCUCUACAGUAUUUUUUGGGUCUAGAAGUGCACUCUACCUCAGCUGGUAUUUUCUUACAUUAGCAUAAACACAUCCAGGAAUUAAUUGCUUUGGCAGGUCUCCAAGAUGGUCGGUCUGUUGAUACCACAUUGGAAGUAAAUGUUAAAUAUCGCCGUGAUGAGGGUGAUUUUCUCUCAGAUCCCUCUCUCUAUCGGCAAUUGGUGGGAAGUCUCAACUAUUUAACUAUUACUCAGCCUGAUAUUUCAUUUGCUGUUCAACAAGUUAGUUAAUUUAUAGAGGCGCCUAGGCACCUCCAUCUAGCUGCUGUUCGUCACAUUAUUCGUUUUUUACUAGGCACUUCCUCUCGUGGUCUUUUCUUCUCCAGAAAUUCUCCUCUUCAUUUGGUAGCCUAUAGCGACGCUGACUGGGCGGAUUGUUCGGAUACUAGACGUUCAGUUACCGGUUGGUGCAUGUUUCUUGAAAAUUCUCUUAUUUCUUGGAAAAGCAAAAAGCAAGAUAGGGUGUCUAAGUCCUCUACUGAGUCAGGGUAUCGUGUUAUGUCCUCUGCAUGUUUUGAGAUCAUUUGGCUUCGAGAUAGUCUACUAAUUACAAAAGUCAAGGUCAACUGAUCAUGGUCUACUAAAUGCAAAAGUCAAGGACAGCUGAUUAUGCGAUCUGGUCUACUAAAUGCAAAAGUCAAGAACAGUUGAUUAUGGGAUCUAGUCUACUAAUUACAAAAGUCAAGGGCAGCUGAUUAUGGUCUACUAAUUGCACUAAUCAAGGGCAGCUGAUUUUGGUCUAUUAUAUUAGCUAUAUAUUAGCAUAUCUGUAAUUAAUAUAUUAGAUAAGUAGAUAUAUUCUGAUCAGAAGAGAAGGUACUGAGUUUUCUAUAGACAUUCUUUCAAAAAAAAAAAAACAAAGAUCUGAAUUACAAGAAAGGCUGCCAACCACAAUAUGAUUGACCCAAAAGGAUAUCUUGAAACCAAAUGAUUGAUCAAAAUAAUCAACCCAAGAAGAAUAACAACUCAGAAAGUUUGGAAAGGCGGAGAAAUUCAAAUAACUAGCUCUGAUACCGUGACAAGUUUUCUAGAUCCAAGACUGAAUGCUGUCUUUUGUGCAUCUUUUCCAUUUAAGUAGAAAAACUCUGUACCUUCUCUUCUGGUUAGAAUAUAUCUGCCUAUCUAAUAUAUUAAUUACAAAUAUGCUAAUAUACAACUAAUAUAGUAGACCAUAAUCAGCUGCCCUUAAUUAGUGCAAUUAGUAGAUCAUAAUCAGCUGCCCUUGACUUUGGUAAGACUAGAUCCCAUAAUUAGCUGUCCUUGACUUUGCAUUUAGUAGACCAGAUCCCAUAAUCAGCUGUCCUUGACUUUUGCAUUUAGUGGACCACAAUCAGCUGACCUUGACUUUUGUAAUUAGUAGACUAGAUCCCAUUGCCCUUGAUAAUUAAAUGCAUAACAUAGCUAAAUUCAACUAAGUUGCAAAGAAAAAAAACAUAUAAUGACUAUUUGUAUAAUUUUUCCUGUCACUUGAAUAUUAGCUCAUCACUAUGAUUAGCUGAUUUACAGAAUGAGAUAGUUUUGUAUAGAAGUUGGAGAGAAAUUUUCCAUUUGUGUGUAAAGAAGGAAGAGAUUUGUACGACAAAAGGAAUCAGGGAUCAAAACAGGCUAGCAGUGAGCAGAUUCCGUCUGUAACAUUUUUAUUUCUAAUUCUAGCAAAGGCUCAAGGCUCAUGAUAAAUGCAUUUGGAGUAGUAGUAUAGAGGUAAAGAUAUAGCAUACCUUAAUUAUGUAAGGAUGUUGUUUUCUUCUUGAUCUCAAUCCAAAUAUCCAUUCUUGAUUUCAUUAGUUUCUUUUGUGCCGGAUUCCCCUACUUGAAGGAAUCAGCGUGCUUGAUUCUACAUGGAUUAUUUGAAACAAUAUGUUCUUACUUUAAAAUUUUUAUGUAUAGUACUUACCGCUUUCUUAAAUUUUUUGUACUUUAUCAAACAAAUUAGGUCCAAAAUAACUUUAGCAACCAUGUUGAACUUAGGUA
rnacentral:lncRNA from 1 species